CACGCCCCCACGGCCGGGCCGCACCUCGCCUUCUCAGGAGAUGCAUCUGGUUCGGAGUGGUACGGCGGUGGUGCUGUAGCCGGAGCUCUGCUUGGUGGCUAUCGGAAGAUUGUUAAAAGAGAGCGUAAUUCACAGUUUCUUCCUAUUACAACCGAUGGAGAUAAAGCAAAACAAAUUCCUCAGAAGAAAGAGAAAUGCAUUUCCAGAUCCCUUCUCCCAUUAAGUAAUAUCUCUCUCUUAAACAUAUGUGGGUCCAAAUAUCAGUCUCUAUCUUUUGUACUCUGCAUCUACAGCCAGUUGUCAGCUCUGCAGAUACUGCAAGAGCUGUGUGUGUGCAGGAAACUCUAUAAUUACAGUGUGCAUAGAUUAGAUCGUCAUUAUAAUUUUGCAUCAUCUGUUAUAUAAUCUGAAGACUGGUGUGAGAUGAGAAAACGCGGUCAUGCUACAAUUCUUGGGAAGAAAAAGCAGAUCGCGGAUUGUAAACGAACGUCCUGGCAAUUAAGGAACCCACACGGAGAUGAGAGGAGAUGAGAGCGCGGACGCGGCGGUUGUCCGCGAGGCGAACCCCAGCGCGGCUGCUGCCGAAGAGGGAACGGGGGCGGGAGCGCGUCGGAACGCCUCGGCGAGCGGCGCGGGGCUGCGCGGGGCCGUGGGGCGGUGCGGGGCCGUGGGGCACGGCGCAAUUCCGCUUGAGCUCUGGGGGCCAGGCAGUGCUGGGGGCCAGGUGCAGCGGCAGAGCGGAGAAGAGGGGAAGAACACGAAGCACGAAGUGCUGAGUGCCGAUUGAUCGCGGGAGCCUCUUCUCAUUUCCAGACAGAGAAACGCGGCCGAGAGAGCCGACAGUCGGUGCCGGGGUUCGGAGGGAGCCGGUCCUCCCGAGCCGGCCAGCCACCAGCUGGCCCCUCCAGCCUACCCACAGCGGCACCCGGCAUCCCCGAGGAGAUGAAUAAAGGCCGCCGCCGAACAGGGGAAAAUAACAGAAAGAAGAGACAGAGAUACAGAACCACGGACGCAGGAAAAAGAUGGAGCGAGCUGCAAGGAAAUAAAUAAGAAGCCAAGUAAAUCAGAUCAAAUCGCCAGGAUGCGUUCCCAACAGCCAGCUUUAUAAUUUCCAGGUGUUGGGGAAAGCGGUUGUCUUAUAGUUUAUAAAUCCCUGCUGGGGGAGGGAGGGGAGAACCUUAGGAAGUGAAGGAAAUAUCAAAUCAGAAGCCUCUAUGUAGAUAUAUGAUUGCAUAAGAAGCUCAGUUGUCUCCAUAUAGUGAAAUGUGCUGUCCUUCCUGUGACUGCCCAGCCCUCCGAGGGAGAGAGCCGCUCGAUUUCGUCUUGAUCAAUGCUGCCUGUGAAGCAAGGAGGAGGAGAAGGGGGGGACCAGGCUGGCACCAGAUGGAGUAGGGUCUAGGGAAAGGUCAAGGUUAGCUCAGGCUGCUAUUGAAUCGGUUGCAGCCUCACAGAUAGAUCUCUGCCUCGGAGGCACCCACUGGGGCUUCUCAGAAUCAAAUCUAAUAGAAAAGGCAAUCACAGAAUGAAAUCUUUUUAUCUGAAUGCUAAAAUUGUUAUUAGGCUACAUUAGAGAGAUACCAGGCAUGUGAUUACCAAAAAAGGAAGCAUGCCUACCAGUUUGUGACUGAAAUAAAAGCUGUGAAUAUGUUGAUGCCAUCAGCAGCGUGCAAGAAUAAUAGAUAACAGGAGAGUGGGACAGGGAGAGAUGGGUGUGUACAGUGAACAGAUUAACAUAUUUAGAUGUAUGUACAUAUCUGCAUGCAAUUUUUUGUGUAUGUAUCUGUGUCUAGGAGGGGGCACGCUGGUUGAGGUGCGGACAGCAGCACUUGACCUUUCUCAAGCCUGGCAGGGGCUGUGGUCCUCAGUGUGUGGGGAUGUCCGGUGCUGGCAAUGGCUGCAGGCAUUCAUCAAGCUGGGUGCUGCCUCGAAGGGAGGUUUGUUGGCCCUCCUGGCGCAGGGCUCUGCCUGCAGCCACAUGCUCUCACUGCGCUGCAGCACCAGGAAUUUGCCUCUCGAUUAUAAGUCUUCAUGGAGACGUGGAAUGAAGGCAUUGUCUGAGGCCUCUCUUCUUCCUUGUCUCAUGCAAAACUCUUUCUGCAAGGAAGUGUCAUUAGGUGCGUAUGCAUGCACACAUCCAGCACGCCGGGCACGCGAGAGUGGUGAGAGCACACACGUAUGUGUUUGGAGCAGUGAAGCUGUCAACUGGCUUCCAAAGAUCAAAGUGAACUCUUCCCAAUUACCAUCUCCUACACAUUAAUGAUUUUUUAACCUACAGCACAGACAUAUCUUGAAGAAGGAUUUAGACUUGUAAAAUAAAUGCUGGCUACACUAGAUUAAACACAACGACUGCACUCGAAGGGUUAGUAAAUUUAGAAUUAACAGAUCAUCCCAGCUUGAUACAGCUACUAUAGAUGAUUUAAUAUGCAGUGUAAGCAGGUUGACAGUCAGCUCACAGAUGCAGAUAAGAUCAAACAGUCUCAUGAUUCAAUAGGGUGAAUGGUUGUGCCGAGUGUCUGGAAGGUGGGUGACAGUAUGGAUGUGGCUGGGGCUCUGGUAAAGAAGGGCCUUGAUUCCCAACUGCUGGAUGGCGGACUGGUUUUGCUAUUCUAGUAGUCAGCCUUUUCCGGCAAUCAAACCUGGAGUUAACAUGAAAAAAAAGAAGUCUUAAAUCCGGUUCAGAGAAGUUACUUGAGAUUUUCAGUAAUGGCUAACUCUGAACUUUAACAGUAACCCCCAUUGCUGCCUCCAGUCUGCAGUCCAGAUUCCUUCUCCGCGGACGAGGCCAUUGCCGCCCGCCCUACCUCACACGGAGGCGGAUCUGCCCACAGCCUUUGUCCAUCUGGCCGCCCCCGUCUCCUUCCCAGCGAGGCCCGGCUCCACAGGCACAGGGAAUCUCGGGGGCAGUGGCAGCGCCUCUCCCCUCCCACCCUCUGCGCUCCGCGAGCGCAGUGCCGUCGCAGCACGGGCUGCCGGGCGGGCUUCCGCGGCGGGGAGCUGCGACGAUUGCGGAGAGCUGCAGACCAAACCCUGCCUCUCAGUGUCAGCCGCCUGGCUUCUCUGCCUUCAAAGUAACUUUGGCGGCUUAUGUUUCCCUUCUCAUUCUCCUAUUUAGACAGAAUCUUGAAACGGUUUGUGUGGAGGCUGGUAAGCAACGAGAUGACAGAGAGGACUCUAACCACUUUUAUUAAUUAAAGCGUCAGCGCAGUACCGAUGUCGGUUUAACAGCAGAGUCAAAUCAGAAUCCACAAAGGAUGCGCUCCCGCGAGUGUUUAACCACGAAUCAAACUUUCAUUUUAACAUUUUACAAUUCGGAAGCCAGUUACUGCUUUUAAUCCUUCGGAUGCCGAGUUAGAAAGGAUAAGGGCCCGAGCACGGUUCAGCCUACCGCACUUUUUGCCCCGUGACACCCAGCAGCCACGAGACGCGGUGCUCCUUCGGGACGCUGCCAGGGAGCUGGAAGGCGCGGGCACGCGUCGAAGAGCUGCGGCAGCGGCGGGGAGAGGGGAAGGACCGCGCUCGGAGAGCGGUGCCCGGCGCGGGGAGGGGGGAGAGGGGGCGGGUCGUGGGGCCGGGGGCGACAAUCUCCCCCGCGGAGCCGCCCGGCGGGAGUCCCAAGGCGGAACCAGCGAAACCAGUUAUCUGGCGCCAAUUUGCAUAUUUAUGGAGCCUCCCGCCGUUCUCCCUGAUUACUUCACAGGCAGAAAAGGUAACAGAAAAAUAUAUAACGCCCUCCCCCACCCCCCGCAAAAAAAAAAAACAAAAAACAAAAAACAAAAAACAAAAAAAAAAAAAAAAAAAAACAAAAAAAACCCCCACCAAAAUCCGUGAAAAAAAGAAUCGUACGUACACGGUGGCUCUGAGACAAGAGCGAUCCUUGUAAAGCCCGGGGCAGGAAACCUGUUACCGAACAGUUUUCUGGAAGAGGAGUUAUCAGUUCCUUUAAGAUCCAAGGCUGAAGAUGCGAGGUCCGUAAGUAGGUGCAAACUGCUUGAGAAACGCAGUGAUCAUUGCGGGGGAAAACAAGCAGUCUCGUCGUAUUCACCGAAAGCUCACAUCUAAAGAGGAGACAAUCCUGGGAGAAUUGGAAAGGCAUUCAAUGAACACUUUAAAAGUGUAGUGUCACAGUACGUGUAUUUUUCAGUCCCACACAUAAGCAACGUGCAAAAGUGCAGUACGGCUUUGAAUAUAAAAGCUAAUUAGGUCUCAGUAGAGUAGAGUUUCACGUUUAUUGGCUCUAAGUACAACGGCUGUCUGAGGCACACCUCAGCUCCCAGGCACUUUUGACCUUUCUCGCAGGAACGGUCGCAGCUGUGUGCCCAUCCUGUGCAUCGGGCACCUUCAGCUCCGGGCAGCAGAACUGCAGUGCCAGGAGCUCCGCAGCUCCUCAUCCCCCGGACACAUCAUUGCGGUGCUGAGGAGUGUGUGAUCGCAGUGCCCCACGUUGCUGGGGUGUAAAGGAGCGUGUGAUCGCAGAGCACCACGUUGGUGGGGUAUCGAGGAGUGCGUGAUCGCAGCAGAUUGCAUCACUACUGCAACACUCAGACCAAACUUCUCACUGACACAGGUUACGUCUGGAGGCCACGCUGCUCGUACUUCAUACAGAAAACUACUGAAGGGGCUAUGAAAUCCUCCAUGAUUUACACUCCCUCUCAGUGCAUUAGGAUAUAGAUCUACUCGGCGCUAAAAAUACUGUGGAGUUUGUAACCGACGUGAAUAUAUGUGCGUUAUUUCAGAAAGUCUGUUAGAAAACUUGUCAACACGUUAUAAAGCAUAAACCAGGGCUCGGCCAUUAAAGGCGGAGAUCAGACACAGAAGCACACCGCAGGAAGCGCCGAGAAAAGUCCCCCAUUCAAAACACUGCUGGCCGCGAGCUGACACCCGGCGCGCACCGAAGGGCUCGGGGGAGCCGCGCUCCAUCGUUGUGGGGCACGGACGGGGCUGCGCGCCCUGGGCUACGGCGAAUAAUGGUCGCGGCGUCAGGAUUUAUCGCCUGGCAAAAGCCGCGUCAGGGCUUGUAAAUACAGUUAUUUGUGUCCACGGCUGCUCGUUAAACAGCCUCGCUCCUUCCACGAAAACACAGCAAAAUAAAAACCCACCUGCUUUAAUAAAGCCCGUGGAUACGGCGCUCCAAGAACGCCUCCCGACGCCUUUUCUCGGUCUGCUGUCGCCCUCUCGUCACAUGACAACGGCAGCGCGGGGGGCGGCGGGCAGUGCGCGUUAUUGUGAUCAAUGCCGACAGCAGCGCCCGUCCGGCCGAGGGGAGCGCUGAGCUGAGGUACGGCUCCGCUUCGCCCGCGCAGUUACUCCGUGCCAGCAUUGAGGGCACACUGCCGGCAGGACUCGCUCGCUGCCGUUCCCGAGAGCAUCCGUACAAUCAGCUGUCGAGUGCGUCUCACGGUGCGGCAGGGGCAGCCACCGCUGGAAUCUCAGCCGCGGUGCAGCGAGACGGCGGGCUGAGGUAUAACUAAGUGAUAAACUCGCUGCGAGUUUUUAAAGAAAACCGAUGGAACGCUGCCUGGUAUUUAUCAGAACCGGCCCCGGCCAGGUAUGCCGCCGUACGCGGGCUUCGGAGAGCGCACGGCUGCGUAAUGACUCGUAAUUAUUCAGAGCACUGUUAAAUGCGAACUGCAGAACGUUUCGGAGGUAAUAAAGUAAUUACUUCUGCACCGCAGUUACCUUGAAAAGCUUUACACGCUCCACGAUAUACAAAUCAAAUCGUAUGAACAUACCUGUGCCGCACACACCCGCUUAUUUAUGUGCGCUCCGCACGGAGCACAUGGCCGCACGGACACGAUCGCCCGCCCUGUGGGCAGCGUGAGCGCAGCACCUGGAGCUCCCCCGGCGCCGCGCCUCCUCCCCGCCUCGCGCCGAUCGGACCCCUCGCUGCCCGCCGCUCCCGGCUCGGCUCGGCUCGGCGGCGGGCUGCCCUCGGCUCGGGGUCCCGCUCCGGCACGGGCUGGCCUCGCUCGGUCAACAGGUCCCCGCGCCGCUCCUGCGCUCCGUCCGAGCCGCCACCUCCGUUCUCCGGCUUCGUCUCCGUGCCGCGCGCGGGUACUCUCGGCCUGGCGGUGCGGGCACGCCCGGCUCCCAAGCCCGUUCCUGCUGCAACCUGAGCCCUCCCCGUGCCGGUGGCGGCCGCGGGUGCGCGGCGGGGAACUUGUGGCCGGCGCUGCGCAUCUCCCAGCUGCAGCCGCU
ensembl:lncRNA